GUGCACCAGUCGAGAAAACUUUACAAUGUGCGAAAGCACGAUAAGGGAACUCUGAGUGCCUCCUAAGGAGGCUGUUCGGGUGUCUAAAAGACACCUGAAGGAAGGGCUGGGUAAGACCGGUGCCAGCCGCCGCGGUAACACCGGCAGCCCAAGUGGUAGCCACGUUUAUUGGGUCUAAAGCGUCCGUAGCCAGCUGGGUAAGUUCCUUGGGAAAUUUGGCUGCUUAACAGUCAAGCUUUCAGGGAAUACUGCCCGGCUUGGGACCGGGAGAGGUCAGAGGUACCCC
rnacentral:rRNA from 1 species